UAACACUUCUUCUUAUCGAUGGAAGUUAUGGUUUCGAAAUGUUCCUAAGAGGUUCAGGCUUGCAAAGGACACAACAUUUGGACAAAGGCACUUGAAUAAGUGGAGUCAGUCAUCAAUUUCCUUAUGGAUGAUGUUGUAGAUGUUAAUGAGUCUGGAAGUAGCAAGUUAGGUGGAUCCGAGCCUGAGGGUGCUGUUCUCUGCUUGCAGGAUCGAUUAAAGUGGCUCAAUCAGCAGGUCAUCAUAAAGGUUGUAUAAUUUCCAAAAGCCUAUCCUUUCAUGAUUUACUGCGAUCACUAUCUACAUCCUCUUUUCGUCUAUCCUUCCUUUCAAGUUUUUUGUUCUAAGUGCUGCUCCCUCAUGAUAGAUUACCUGUUAACUUUUUCAUGUUUUUUUUUUACCAUCAAGGACAACCUGGAGUGUUUUGCUAAUUGAGAAUGACUUUAAAAGAAAAAAUUAUAUUGGUCUUAAAAAUGAGAAUGACUGUAC